GGAAGGACGCUUAGGGCUAAGGGGGCUAGCGGAUGGAAGUGCUAGUCUAAGGUUGUAGGAGGUUAUACAGGCAAAUCCGUAUAACAAUACUCCGAGAACUGAAAGGCUUUUUGAAGUCUUCGGAUGGAUAGAAGAACCCCUGAUGCCGUCGAGCCAAGAAAAGUUUCUAAGUUUAGCUAAUGUUGCCCGUACCGUAAACCGACACAGGUGGGUGGGAUGAGUAUUCUAAGGCGCGUGGAAGAACUCUCUUUAAGGAACUCUGCAAAAUAGCACCGUAUCUUCGGUAUAAGGUGUGGUUAGCUUCGUACUAGGAUUUACUCCGAAAGCGAAGAAACUUACAACAAAGAGUCCCUCCCGACUGUUUACCAAAAACACAGCACUCUGCUAACUCGUAAGAGGAUGUAUAGGGUGUGACGCCUGCCCGGUGCUCGAAGGUUAAUUGAUGGGGUUAGCAUUAGCGAAGCUCUUGAUCGAAGCCCGAGUAAACGGCGGCCGUAACUAUAACGGUCCUAAGGUAGCGAAAUUCCUUGUCGGUUAAAUACCGACCUGCAUGAAUGGCGUAACGAGAUGGGAGCUGUCUCAAAGAGGGAUCCAGUGAAAUUGUAGUGGAGGUGAAAAUUCCUCCUACCCGCGGCAAGACGGAAAGACCCCGUGGACCUUUACUACAGCUUGACACUGCUACUUGGAUAAGAAUGUGCAGGAUAGGUGGGAGGCUUUGAGUAUAUGACGCCAGUUGUAUAUGAGCCAUUGUUGAGAUACCACUCUUUCUUAUUUGGGUAGCUAACCAGCUUGAGUUAUCCUCAAGUGGGACAAUGUCUGGUGGGUAGUUUGACUGGGGCGGUCGCCUCCCAAAUAAUAACGGAGGCUUACAAAGGUUGGCUCAGAACGGUUGGAAAUCGUUCGUAGAGUAUAAAGGUAUAAGCCAGCUUAACUGCAAGACAUACAAGUCAAGCAGAGACGAAAGUCGGUCUUAGUGAUCCGGUGGUUCUGUGUGGAAGGGCCAUCGCUCAAAGGAUAAAAGGUACCCCGGGGAUAACAGGCUGAUCUCCCCCAAGAGCUCACAUCGACGGGGAGGUUUGGCACCUCGAUGUCGGCUCAUCGCAUCCUGGGGCUGGAGCAGGUCCCAAGGGUAUGGCUGUUCGCCAUUUAAAGCGGUACGCGAGCUGGGUUCAGAACGUCGUGAGACAGUUCGGUCCCUAUCUGCCGUGGGCGUAAGAAGAUUGAAGAGAUUUGACCCUAGUACGAGAGGACCGGGUUGAACAAACCACUGGUGUAGCUGUUGUUCUGCCAAGAGCAUCGCAGCGUAGCUAAGUUUGGAAAGGAUAAACGCUGAAAGCAUCUAAGCGUGAAGCCAACUCUAAGAUGAAUCUUCUCUAAGCUCUCUAGAAGACUACUAGUUUGAUAGGCUGGGUGUGUAAUGGAUGAAAGUCCUUUAGCUGACCAGUACUAAUAGAGCGUUUGGCUUAUCUUUAAUAAAGCAU
rnacentral:rRNA from 1 species